CCCACCCGCGGAUCUCUGUGGGUACCGCAGUGCUGUCUUCUAUAGGAAACUUUUCUCAAUUGUGCUGAUGGAAUCAACCUGGCUGGAAGAAGCAGCUAUUGGUAUUGAAAUCCCUUCCGAGUCAAGUACUUAGUAGUGAGGAAAGGAGAGGAAAACUCUUGAUCAAAGUUGGGGCUCGUCUGCUCCUGCUUGUCGUAUUUAUCCUCUGUACCCGAAGGAGGAACAGUUAGACUUGUCUGAGUAAUUGUUGGGGAGCCGGGAACUCCUCUGGGAAAUGAGAAGUACUUUCCUAGGCAGCAUCAGGGUGAGAGAACUGAGAGGUUUUCUGGAAAAGCAGACCACAAGGCAAGUGAUCCUAAGAUGUCUCCUCCUCUCAACACUAGAAGGGCACUGUGCAAGCAUCUAAGGGAUGAGGAAGCCAUCAGGCAAAGGGAGCAGCAGCUUCUGGGAAUUCUGCCUACUAAACCAGGCACUCGAAAAUUUCCCAGCAUGCUCUGAGAACUCAGGUCUUGGUCUCACUCUUCUUGGAUUCAAGCCCUUUGUCCAGCUCUGCACUGGUAACACAGAGCCUACUUGAGAUUCUCUAUCUCCCUCUCUCUCU